rnacentral:snRNA from 1 species
AUACCUUUCUCGGCCUUUUGGCUAAGAUCAAGUGUAGUAUCUGUUCUUAUCAGUUUAAUAUCUGAUACGUGGGGCACUGCCUCACAUGAUAUUAAAUUAAUUUUUGUUCUUAGGGGGUGUCUAUCACAACAGCUUGCUGUUGGGACUCUCAAGCGUCGCCCAUGUGUUGCACUACUGCAAGGGCCUGGCGCACCCUAC